CAGUCGCCGCGGUAAUACGGAGGGUGCAAGCGUUACUCGGAAUCACUGGGCGUAAAGGACGCGUAGGCGGAUUAUCAAGUCUCUUGUGAAAUCUAACGGCUUAACCGUUAAACUGCUUGGGAAACUGAUAAUCUAGAGUAAGGGAGAGGCAGAUGGAAUUCUUGGUGUAGGGGUCAAAUCCGUAGAUAUCAAGAAGAAUACCUAUUGCGAAGGCGAUCUGCUGGAACUUAACUGACGCUAAUGCGUGAAAGCGUGGGAAGCAAACAGGAUUAGAUACCCCUGUAGUCCCUGUCUCUUAUAC
rnacentral:rRNA from 1 species